ACUCCUACGGGAGGCAGCAGUGGGGAAUUUUGGACAAUGGGGGAAACCCUGAUCUAGCCAUGCCGCGUGAGCGAUGAAGGCCUUAGGGUUGUAAAGCUCUUUCAGUGGGGAAGAUAAUGACGGUACCCACAGAAGAAGCCCCGGCUAACUACGUGCCAGCAGCCGCGGUAAUACA
rnacentral:rRNA from 1 species